CACUACGCUGAAAUUCGUACAACAUGAAAUACUGUCAUCCCUCACAUUGUAUUGAGCAGCUGGGAAUUUAUACGAAACUGGGAAGGAACAGGGGAGGCACAGAAGGUUGUCAAGGUGACAGGCUCAUGAGAGACAGAAGGCAGCAUCUUCGUUGUAAGGAAGUAGGGGAAGAUUUAAUCUUGGAAGAGAAUGACAUUCCUGCCUUCAGACCACAGAAGAAUCAGAAAUAAUACAUUUCCAAGAAAAUUUCAAAUGAUGGAUAUAUGCCAGACCAGGAAUUUCCUUCUGAGGGCUUUGGUCGUCUUCGUGAUUUAGGUAGAUGGCAAAAUUAUUUACUGAAAGUAAGGAUGACAGGUGUGGGUUAGGAGCCUUGAGAUGCAUUUUCAAACAGUUGCUGUGGCAAGUGCAAUAGGGAAUCAAUUAGAGUUAAAUAAAAGAAUUGCUGAGUAGCA
rnacentral:lncRNA from 12 species